rnacentral:lncRNA from 1 species
GGGUGAAGAAGAAGAGGAGGAGGAUGAUGAGGAGGAGGAAGAUGAGGAUGAUGAUUGAAGCUAUUUUGCUUCCAACACUCAGUUUUUGUACUAAUUUUCCAUCCGACAAGGGUUGAGUGAACAUAUGUGUUUUUUGCUGUAUUUUCUGUUACCUAGUUUGGUCACGCAGUUUGCUGAAACUCAACUCUGCUGGUAGUCAGUGGCAUCCACUUGUUUACAUAACUUGAAUGAACUUGUAUAUGUAAUAUGAUGAUACGUAAUAUAUAUAUAUAUGGUAUGUCUUUUAUCUGACUUCAGAUCUUUGUUGAUUCUUAUCUGCACUCUGAAUGCAAGGAAUAGUCGUUGAUCAAAGGAGCUUGAGUAGUUUGAAUGUUGGCUUAUAUAACACAGGCACCUGAGGUGCGCGUUAAACCAAGAUUUUUCUACCUAAAAUUUAAUUGGCUAAACAACAAAUGGACAGACUCCCUGGAUAUAAAAGUGAUAAGCAGAAGCACGAGAUCUUGGAAAAACAAGUAAAAUUCUGCGCUAAGCAUGGGUGUAUUUUUACUGGCCAUAACCAACAAACUCUUUUAGUUUUUAUGGUCAAAAGUUUAAUUGGCUAAACAACAUGACCUGAUACAGACUCUAUCCGUGUUUAAUUCAUAUAUUCAACAUCAGUAAUCCCUCUUGCAAAGUAGGGAAUAUAUGUCAGCUGUCAACAUUAAACGUUGAAAAAGUUAAAAGAAAGGCAAUAACCUCUCAACUAUAAAAUGCCGUCUGUUAAUCAGUACACCUCAAAUCUCAAUUUUUACUUAGGAUUCAAUUGUAUAAUGACCAAGGAUAGUGAAUGAGAACUUGCAACGUAUGCACUAUAUUACAUUUUAUACUAGCUUUCUUCUCAUGAAAAUAAAUGCUUGAUAAUAAACCUGCACUAAAAUAUAAUAUCUCUAAGUUUCAUGAACCAGAAAUGAAAGACAAAGCAACCUAAAGCCUGGAGAAGUUGAAAGUUUACUUCACAGAUGAUGAUUUUAAGCAAUUUGUCGAGCAGUAGCGAGGUGCCAAUGUGUCCACUGAACAAGAAUCAGGAAAAAAUUAAACACUUAAAUUGAAAACUAGGGAGUGUAAGAUAGUCUUAUCUAAAAGCAAGCACCAGCUACCAGCAUAUUCUCUUGGGUAUCUGAGUUUGGCAUUGGCAUGCUGGGUAUCAGCUCCAAAAACUUCCCCUUGAAUCUUCCUGUUGGUUCUUGACAAAAGAAACUUAGGGAAACAAACAGGGGAAAAUAAUAGGAAAAUAAAAGCUGUAUACUGGAAUAGAUGUAAAAGGAACUCUAACUGAAAAUUAUAUUUUAUUUCAUUGCAUUUGGACUUCAAUUUAUAAGAGGAAAAUGAUAGGAAAAUAAAAGCAGUGUACGGGAAUAGAUGUAAAAGGAAUUCUAACUGAAAAUUAUAUUUUAUUUCACUGCAUCUUGACUUCAAUUUAUAAGAAAAAUAUUAACUUAAAAGAUCUAAAAAUUCGCACAAAAUCUGAUGAAAUUAACAAACUCCUAGAGACUAGUUCACUCAUAAAGACUAGUUCAAAAUUAUUUAAAAUUCAAACUAAAUUACUGCAGUAAAUAACUCUUAAGUUGAAACAGUAAAAUAAUUUUAUUGAGAGCAGCUUCUAAAGCAUAUUUCUAACACUCCUCCUUACUUUUGAAGCUGCAAAUUUUGAAUUUAUGCCUUGUAAACCUUUAACUGGAAUCGACUUUGUACGUAAAUCUGCCAACUGAUCUUGCAGUAAAUCGAGUUCACUUUUCUAUUUUGCUGCAUCUCAUGAUUGUCAAUGAAAUAAGUUGGCUCUUUUUUCGGCUUCAUUUGCAUCUUGCGUUGAGACUUGUCAACUUUCUUCCAUAUUUGCAUUUUUCCUUGAGGCUUGUUAACUUUCUUCCCGAUUUUAUUUUUUUUGAAAUAUUGACAACUUCUUCUUUGCCUCAUUUUCACAUAUGUCCUCAAUUGGAGGAUUAUCUGCCCUUUGUAGAUUUUUUGGCUCCAUUUUUCUUCUUCUGUUGGAUCAAAUGAGAAGUUUUUACUUCUAUUUUUAACCCUUAAAAUCUCAAGUCCAGUUGCAUCAUAAAUAAAAUAAUAUUUAUCUUCAAAGAAUACUUUAAAUCCUUUUUCUAUUAGUUGCCCAACACUCAAUAAAUUUUGAUCAAUACCAGGAACAUAAAGAACAUCUGAAAUUUUCUUAGUACCUGAAUUUGUUGAGAUUGCAAUAAUUCCUUUUCCUUUAGCAAGAAUAUAAUUACCAUUCCUAAUUCUGAUUUUCUUAUUUUCCAUAGACGUGAACUCUUUGAAAAGAUUUUUGCCAUAUGUCUUGUGGUUUGUACAACCACUAUCAAUCAACCAAAAAUCAUAUUUCUUGGUUGAAAGAACAGUUGCCACAAACAAGUGAUCUUUUUCUUCUUCAUUGGUGACUUGAGCAUCUGCUUCAUACUUUUGAUAUUUGCCUUUGCAAAUUAUAGCUCCAUGACCAAGUUGGUUGCAAAUUUUAUACUUUGUAUCUGGCCUCUUCCAACAUUUGAAUGGUGGAUGACUUUUUUUGCUAUGGUGCUGACAAGGUGGGUAAUUUUUCUUUGCAUUAUUACAGUUGCUUUGAGUUUUGUGGUUGGCUAUCAAGGCUUCUUCAACCAUACCAUCUUGCCUCGUAAGCCUCCUUUGCUCUCAUGCCUGCAAUGUAUUUAACAAUUCUGCCAAGGUAAUCUUGGAUAGAUCCUUUAUAUUUUCCAAGGUAGUUAUGGAUACUUCAUAUUUUCAGGCACCGUAACAAAAAAAAGAUUCAACAAUUCUUGAAUCUUUAAAUUUAGUACCAAGCAACCUUACCUUGUUAACAAUGCCAAGCAACCGAUCGGAGUAUUCUUUGACGGUCUCAGAUUCUUUCAUUUUCUGCAACUCGAAUUUCCUUAUUAAAUUCAACACCUUCAUGCCUCGUAUUAUUUCAUCUCCUCUAUAUUUUUUCUUCAGAUAAUCCCAAAUUUCUUUUACUGAUUUAAGAGCCAUAACUCUCGUGAAAAUAGUUGCAGACACACCAACAAACAAAGUUGCUUUCCUCUUUGAUUUCCUGAUUUUUUUUUCCUUGUGACUCUUGAUCUGGGCCAUGGUGGGAUUGCUAGGCAGCGGAAGAAUAUCAUAAUCCUCUUGCACGGCCUCCCAAAGAUCUAAAGCCUCCAAGUAAGUCUUCAUUCUCACUGCUCAUAGUUAGUAAUUUUCACCAUAAAAAACAGAGCCAAUUGAGAAAAACUUGUUUCAGUCUCCAUCUCACUCAAGAAAAGAUUUUACUUAGGUCCCUUAAGAAGAUGGCUCUUGAUACCAAUUGUUGGUUCUUGAUAAAAGAAACUUUGGGAAAUAUCAGGGGGAGAUGAUAGGAAAAUAAAAUAGAUGUAAAAAGAAACUCUAACUAAAAAUUCUAUUUUAUUUCACUCAAUUUGGACUUUACUUAAAAGACCUAAAAUUAGCACAAAAUCUGGUGAAAUUAAUAAACUCCUACCUAGAGACUAGUUCACUAUUAAAUACUACGUAACUGUUAAGCUAAGCUGAAACACAAAAAUAAUUUUAGAGAGAGCAGCUUCCAAAGCAUAUUUCUUACACUUCCUCGUCAAACUAACUCUGUUCUUCAAUUCCAAAACACGUAUUCCCCAAAUAGCAGUUUCUUUAAUCGACCCCAUUGACUGUAUUAACUACGUCUCAAUCACAAAUUAGUCGGAUCUCAUGGUUAUCAUGUGAUUAGCGUUCAUGCUUUUCAUCUGAUUAUAGGUUACUAUUUUCUUGAUCAUACGUGGUGCUAUCAUCUUGGUCAUCUGACCAAGGAGCAUCACGUUGCUAAAAAUAUUGAUUUUUUAGUCUUGAAUUGGACUUACUGCAGAAUACUAUAUAUAUCUCAAAUGAGCUGGAACAUAAGUUUGGAUGUAAAGAUUAUAUCUUUUUAUCAUUUUAUUGUUUGGGUUACCAUUUUUUUUUUAUGGGACUCAGGAUUAGUUAUUAUUGUUACACUUACCUUUAGGUUUAGUGUCGGUAUUGGGUCAUCUUGGAAUGAUAUAUUGAUAAUGGUGUGUAUUUGUGGACUAAGCAUUUCCACCCUCUUAUUUACAGGUAAAAUGAUAAAAGGGCAUGUAAUUUUGAUGGAGAAGUACAGGAAUGGAACUUCAAAAAGGUAUAUUCUUUAGUUCUAUUUCGAAGAUUUGCUUCGCUGUCCUUAUACGGACUUUGUCCGGUAAUAAAAGGGGUUGUUUCUGGCUCGAUAUGUAUUGAUCGAAUGAUGGUUGAAUAUGGAGAAUACUCACUGAUGUUUUGCUAGUCUGGUUUUGUUUGAAAAUAGGUGGCGGUCCAAGAUUUAAAUUCUAUGGGUUCAACUUUAAAAUUUUAAGCAUUGAACCCAUUAUAAUUUUAAAGUUAUGGAUUUAUAUCUAUUAUUUAUUUUAAUUUUAAUAGUUUUACAUAUAAAUUUAUGCUCCUUAUCGAAAGUUAUGCGUUCAAUUUAACCCGUACUUAUAGUACUAUAUUCGCCUUUGUCUCUUGCUAUGUUUGUUGUUCGAGUAUGUAAUCUAGCAAGAGGUGGAUCCAGAAUUUAAAUAUGAUGAGAUCGACCUUAGGUUCUCAGCACCGAACUUAUUGCACUAUUAAAAGUAGGUAUGUAUGUAUGUGAGAGCAUUUUUUCACAUAUAUACCUAUACUACGUGUCAGAAAAGCUGAUAGUUAGAACACUACUACAUCCGGAUCUGUGAAUAGCAAUUUAUCUUUGCAAAGUGCAGGAACGGUAAGUGUUCUCUUGACUGCUUGUCCAUAUUAUUCCGUGGAUCUUGCCCCUUUUUUAUAUUAUUUUGGUUUUAAUUAAUAUCUUCACGCCUUUGACAUCUUCCAACAAUUAUCUUGACAGAUAUCUAAAUAUCAGAUGUAAUAGAUCAGUCUUCUUCUAAACUCUGUAUUAGUUCAUAAAUUUAACAUACAAAAACAUAAGGGGGACUAGCUAGAUCAAACACCCCCCUAUGGCCUGUCAAAAUGAGGGAGACUCAAUUCUUUCUACAUUGAUAGACUACAACUUCUAAGGAUCCAAUAAAGAUUUCGCAAUGGUUUCACCAAGUUGAUAACCUUUUUGGUUCACCGAAGAAUCCAAGUUCAAGUCUUUGCAAAUAUUCUUUUUUCUUCUUUUGAUCUCUUUGACCUCUAGCUUCUGUACUCGUCUAGGCCAUCAUCAGAAUAAUCUUUAUCCGAGCAGGAGUCCAAGAUUGUUUCAUUGAACACCUCUUUUACGUCCCCCCAUAGCCACAACUUGGUAUAAAAGGUGGUGCCGAUUAUACCAAAUAGUGUUAUGCAUGAACCAGAUGGUAGCGAUAAAUCGUCCAAUGGAUGAAGAUCAACCCACUAUUGGAUUGGUUUUGUAACAUCCUCUGUUACAAGAACCGUAUCGUCUUCGGCAUUUUUUUCUUCAUCUUCCUCGUGAAACAAAAUCAUGUUGUGUACAGGAAUAAAUUUGAUUUGCUCUUCAAGUUUUUGAACAAAAUCAUGUCGUGAAACAAAAUCUGAUUGUAUCAUAGUUUUUGAAAUCCAUGAUCAUGCUCGAGAGGGGAUUUAAGUUUUCUAAACUGAGAAUGUUAAUCAACCUAACACUCUUUCUGAUUGUUUAAAUGAACCCUUUCUUUUUUCAGUUAUAGUUAAACGGUUAUAAUUGCCAUCCGCAGAAGACUUAAGAGUUUAGAUAAGCACGUUUUGUUUUGGUAAUUAAAACAAUUUUAUUACCUGUAAAGAAUAUGUACAGCUCAAGACAAAAGAAAACAUAUCUAAAACUGGCAACACCCAGUAAUUAGAGUUGAGACUAGAUCAUCUCCACUAUAUCUCCUUACACAGCUAACUCCUCAACCUCUACCAAUUACCUAGGAUAAAAAUUGAGUUCGUGAAUCUUCCUAGCUAAUUUUGGCCGCAUGCUACCUCUGAAUAUAACCUCCUGUAUAAUCAGUUUCACUAGUAUAUCUGAAGAUCUCUGCUUGCGUUGAAAGACGCUAUUGUUCCUCUCUUACCAUAAAUAGUACACAGCUCCAGCUAGUGUCAUUCUGUAGAUGUUUGCAGUAGCUGUCUUCCCGUUGCAGUAUUUCUCAGCCCAUUGAAUCUCUGUUUGCCAUUCAACAAAAAAAAAACAUAUUUACGUUGUUGAUUCAUUCAUAAAGUGUCAUGUUUGUUCCAUGAGAUGAUUACACUAAAGAUUUAUAUAAAUUGACUAGUUUUAUGCUGGCUCGAAUCAGUAAUGUAAGUAAGCUCAUGCCUGAUGGAACAAACAGUUCUCCAAGGGGACCGAUAAGAAGGAAUUUAGUUACUACUAGUAUUACCAGGCAAUGAUCAUUGACGAUGAUAUUAACAUCCUAACCUAACACAUCAUUUUUUUUGUCUCUUCAUUUUCUCCUGCAACAUUAGGCUUACCACUUUUGACACUGUUAAGCGUUUGAUAGCGAGAAGUGAGAAAGAGCUCCAAAGAGUUAUGGAGGAAAACCGCGAGAGACAAAAGACAGAAUCCUAGAUAUGUACUGCACCAUAUUGUAGAUGUUCUGAUUCUUUGAAGGUAAUUGAUCUCUUAAUUAAUAUUCAUGUCAUUUUGAAGCACUAGUUCGACGAGCAAGAGAAUUAAUAAUCUUGCUUAUUGCCUGGAGCUCCAAUUUUGUAAAACCAGGUUUAGUUGCCAGAGUAGUUAGGUUGGCUUUGUUAUGGCUUGAUUAGCUCAGUUUAACAUUUGUGUAAUGGCAAAGAACUAUCAGCUGCCUAUAAGGAGCUGAUCACUGAUCUAUCAACAUUAGACACACUUCAUUUUUAUCAGUACUUUGCACUCUUUUGUGGAUUAUUGUGUUAUAAUGCCAAUUUCUGUUCCUUAUUUUACAGAUUAAAUUAAUUAAAGGAUGCUAAAAUUUGAAUAAAGACCGCAGAAGAAUGUUGUUGAAGAGAAUAUUAAAAUUAUGUCAUACAUUUAAAAUUACAAAUAUGUGAUCUCAAACAUUGGAUUAAAAAGUAGAUAAGAACUGGAACAUAACGAAUUGUCAUAAUUUUCACUACAAAUAUAGAAAAAUAUUACUCCACUCUAUUAAAGUAAACAAAAACUAUGUUUUCAUAUAGCCCGAACACCUUCAAUCAACAACUUGAUUUCUGCAAAUGUACCGCACAAGCAUCUGAAGUAGCCGUCAACAUUCCAAUGCUGGAACCUUGCGAGAAAUUAAUUUCCAAAUCCUCACAAUAUACUUGUAAUUUUCCACAAUUACGUUGUGCCUCAUAGUGGCUUAUUUGAACUUUUCCAUUUAAAUUUACUGAAAAUUUUGUGGAAAGACCAGAAGCAAGAUCAUUCAUAACAGUGUUAGUCAUCCAUUCAUUAUAACUCUCCGGCAAAGCACCAAAAAUUGCAUCAACGAAGUUUUGAGCAUUUUCGUCUUUAUAAAAUUUAGCAGAAUUAUUAGCUUGCCAAAGAACUAUAUUCUUGUAGGUAAUCUUGGCAUCAAAGUCAUCAUAUAAGAAAUUAUAAUCAUUGGUUGGGUUCUUGACUAAGAAAGUGAGUUUCCAACUGUCAGGAUUGUCGAAAACUGAAGGUGGCGCAUUGCAUAUCACGGUAAUGAAGAAGAGGCAUAUAUAAGACGAAACUUAGGGUAUUGGAUUUCUUUAGUAACCUUUGCUGGGAAGAACAAAUAAAAAGAAA